rnacentral:rRNA from 1 species
UACGAAGGGGGCUAGCGUUGUUCGGAAUUACUGGGCGUAGAGCGCGCGCAGGCGGCUCUUCAAGUCAGGGGUGAAAGCCCAGAGCUCAACUCUGGAACUGCCUUUGAGACUGAAGAGCUUGAGUACGGGAGAGGUGGGUGGAAUUCCCAGUGUAGAGGUGAAAUUCGUAGAUAUUGGGAAGAACACCGGUGGCGAAGGCGGCUCACUGGCCCGUUACUGACGCUCAGGCGCGACAGCGUGGGGAUCAAACAGG